rnacentral:rRNA from 1 species
GAUGAACGCUAGCGACAGGCUUAACACAUGCAAGUCGAGGGGCAGCGGUGGUGAAGGCUUGCCUUCACCAGCCGGCGACCGGCGCACGGGUGAGUAACACGUAUGCAACCUGCCUGCCACAGCCGGAUAAUCGGGAGAAAUUCCGUCUAAUACGGCAUAAUGCAUCGACGGGACAUCCUGUUGGUGCCAAAGGUUAAUUCCGGUGGCGGAUGGGCAUGCGUCGCAUGAGUGAGUUGGCGGUGUAACGGACCACCAAGACGACGAUGCGUAGGGGUUCUGAGAGGAAGGUCCCCCACACUGGUACUGAGACACGGACCAG